rnacentral:piRNA from 1 species
UGAUCCUCACGUGUUCUGACAGUUGGUA